rnacentral:rRNA from 1 species
ACGGGAUUCUGCAAUUCACACCAAGUAUCGCAUUUCGCUACGUUCUUCAUCGAUGCGAGAGCCGAGAUAUCCGUUGCCGAGAGUCGUUUAAUGUUAUACACGACUUGGUGCCACGUCCACGACCGACGAACCGGUUGCAGAAGGGCACGCUUGUAUUGAUGUUC